CCUACGGGAGGCAGCAGCGAGGAAUCUUGGGCAAUGGGCGAAAGUCUGACCCAGCGACGCCGCGUGGGUGAUGAAGGCCUUCGGGUCGUAAAGCCCUGUCGGGAGGGAAGAAACCUCGGUGACCUAAUACGUCGCCGACCUGACGGUACCUCCAAAGGAAGCACCGGCUAACUCCGUGCCAGCAGCCGCGGUAAUACGGAGGGUGCAAGCGUUGUUCGGAAUCACUGGGCGUAAAGCGCGUGUAGGCGGCCUCUUAAGUCUGAUGUAAAAUCCCGGGGCUCACCCCCGGAAGGGCAUUGGAAACGGGGAGGCUGGAGUACCGGAGAGGAAGGUGGAAUUCCUGGUGUAGCGGUGAAAUGCGUAGAUAUCAGGAGGAACACCGGUGGCGAAGGCGGCCUUCUGGACGGAUACUGACGCUGAGACGCGAAAGCGUGGGGAGCAAACAGGAUUAGAUCCCCGGGUAGU
rnacentral:rRNA from 1 species